UUUAAUAUCUUGAGAUUUAUUAGUUAUAUAAAUAUAUAUACAUAUAUAUAUAUAUAUAUUUGUACUUUGCAACAGAGAUCAUUAAAGAAUGCAUGCAUGUGAAACAUACGCUGUAAUAUAAAAAAAAAAGAAAUGUACAAUUUCCUCUUGAGAGCC